AUUGAACGCUGGCGGCAUGCCUUACACAUGCAAGUCGAACGGCAGCACAGGGGAGCUUGCUCCCUGGGUGGCGAGUGGCGGACGGGUGAGGAAUACAUCGGAACCUACCCUUUCGUGGGGGAUAACGUAGGGAAACUUACGCUAAUACCGCAUACGAUCUGAGGAUGAAAGCAGGGGACCGCAAGGCCUUGCGCGAUUGGAUGAGCCGAUGUCCGAUUAGCUAGUUGGCGGGGUAAAGGCCCACCAAGGCGACGAUCGGUAGCUGGUCUGAGAGGAUGAUCAGCCACACUGGAACUGAGACACGGUCCAGACUCCUACGGGAGGCAGCAGUGGGGAAUAUUGGACAAUGGGCGCAAGCCUGAUCCAGCCAUGCCGCGUGUGUGAAGAAGGCCUUCGGGUUGUAAAGCACUUUUGUUGGGAAAGAAAUCCUGUCGGCUAAUACCCGGCUGGGAUGACGGUACCCAAAGAAUAAGCACCGGCUAACUUCGUGCCAGCAGCCGCCGUAA
rnacentral:rRNA from 1 species